rnacentral:rRNA from 1 species
AUUGAACGCUGGCGGCAGGCUUAACACAUGCAAGUCGAACGAGUGGCGGACGGGUGAGUAAUGCUUGGGAAUCUGGCUUAUGGCGGGGGAUAACGACGGGAAACUGUCGCUAAUACCGCGUACCAUAGGACGAGCCCACGUGGGCUUAGCUAGUUGGUGGGGUAAUGGCCUACCAAGCUGACGAUCGGUAGCUGGUCUGAUAGGAGGACCAGCCACACCGGGACUGAGAGACGGCCCGGAAUCCUACGGGAGGCAGCAGUGGGGAAUAUUGGGCAAUGGGGGCAACCCUUACGCAGCCAUGCCGCGUGAAUGAAGAAGGCCUUCGGGUUGUAAAGUUCUUUCGGUAUUGAGGCGGUAAAUACAGAAGAAGCACCGGCUAACUCCGUGCCAGCAGCCGCGGUAAUAC